rnacentral:rRNA from 1 species
ACGAACGCUGGCGGCGUGCUUAACACAUGCACGUCGAACGGUGAAGGGACUGGUUUUGCUGGUCCUGGAUGAGUGGCGAACGGGUGAGUAACACGUGAGUAACCUGCCCCCUUCUUCUGGAUAACCGCAUGAAAGUGUGGCUAAUACGGGAUAUUCUGGGUCUGUCGCAUGGUGGGCCUGGGAAAGAUUGCGCCUUUUUUGGUGUUUUUGGUGGGGGAUGGGCUCGCGGCCUAUCAGCUUGUUGGUGGGGUGAUGGCCUACCAAGGCGGUGACGGGUAGCCGGCCUGAGAGGGUGGACGGUCACACUGGGACUGAGACACGGCCCAGACUCCUACGGGAGGCAGCAGUGGGGAAUAUUGCACAAUGGGCGCAAGCCUGAUGCAGCGACGCCGCGUGAGGGAUGGAGGCCUUCGGGUUGUGAACCUCUUUCGCCAGUGAAGCAGGCCUGCCUCUUUUUGUGGGUGGGUUGACGGUAGCUGGAUAAGAAGCGCCGGCUAACUACGUG